GCAAUAAGCAACGUGAUUAUCUUUGGCUGCAGAUAUUGGCCACAGGGAUUUCUCUAAUUCACAAGUCUUCUCCUUGCUGCCCCAAGUCCCUCACAGCCCCAUCUUUCUUCAGGUCCCGCUGGAACUUCUCUUGCUGAUUCCCAAACACAGUGCCCAAUGACACCCUCAGCUUACUAUGUUGUAGGGUCAGAGGGAAGAUGAAACAUGUUUCUCUUCCCCCAACACCAUUUUGUUCCUGACAGAGCUGGGACUGUGCGUGCUCUUGUAGCGUCCUCACCGAGCGAUGCCCCAAACGGGCUCUGCACAAAUGACUUGUUAGAUCAGUUGGUGAAAUCUCAUUAUGAUCCAAAUCUUUGGAAUGCAGUUUUGUUGUACUGGAAAAAAGAGCUAAAAAGAAAGCCAGCUCACACAGAAGCGUCCGCACGAGAGCCACGCGAAGCAGCACAGGACGGAAGCAGCGGGCAUCUCUGAGGAAGCAGGGCCUCAAGGUUCCAACUGUCAAGAUGGUCCGGGAAGAAAUGGUCUCGCUCUCCACACCCCCAAAGUUGGCCCUGUGAGCAAGUCUAAUAGGACUUUUUUCAGUUUCAUAAAAUAUCUUGAUAACUGGAAAGUGCCAGUUAAUGGUAACCUGUUCCAACUAUGAAUUUCACAAAGAUUAAUAUACCCCUUUAGGUUUCUUAAGAUUCUAUCAGGAGGCCUCCCCUAGUCUAGGGUGUUUUACAAUCUCUGUGGGCACGAAGCUCAACUGAAACUACCAUUCAACAGCCUAACUGUCAUCUUCAUCUUCUCCUGGCAUAAAAAUACAUAUUUUUUUCCCAUAAUAAAGAUUUUUUAUAAUAGCAAUAAAGUAACUCCAGAGAACAUGGUUGUCUUGAGAUAGUUUAACUGUGUCUGGUACCUCAUAACGCCCUGGGGAUACAGCAGGCCCAUAAUACUCCCUUUCGCUGCCAUGUCUUUGCUUAAUUAAGGAAUAAAGCCAAAAGGUCAAGGCUGGAGAAAAAUGUAAAUCUUCAAAACUUUUCAUUCUUGACCCAAACUCUGUGUCAUAAAACCUCAGUUAUCUCUGUAACAAGCAGCACACCUACCCAGUGAGUUAGGAGAUACCCGAAUAUACAUUACAUCUUUAAAAUAUGCUUUUAACACAAUGGAAAUAAAUUCCUGACCUCUGGGCUUGGAAUUAUGAUUCUGCCUUCUUAG
ensembl:lncRNA